rnacentral:rRNA from 1 species
GUUAGUUGUAAUAUUUUCCUUUUUGUAUUACGGUUCGUAGGUAUUUUUAUGUUUUUAUUCUCUCGAAUGGAAUAUGAUAUAUCUUUUGUGUGUUUUGUUUUAUUUUCUUUGGUUAACAUUAGAAUUACAUUGAUUGGUAGUAGUGAUAUGUUUUCGGAUUUCUUUAUCUAGUUUUUAGUUGUCUUUAGGUUAAGCUUUUGUUUUACUUGUUUUUUUGUCCUAUUUGUUUAAGUUAUUCUUAAUAGUAUUUCUUUUAAUCGUUAAAGAUUUGUUAGUCUUCUGUUUGUUUAUAUGGUUUUUAGUAAUUCUUUUUAGCAAUUACGUAAUUAAUAUGAAUUAUGCUAUAUAUAACUCAAUGCGUCUACAACUGUUUUCUAAAAACAUUUCAUUUUUUGUAAAAUGUAGUCCCUGCUCACUGAUAAGUUAAAUAGCUGCAGUACUUUGACUGUACGAAGGUAGCAUAAUUACUUGUCUAUUAAUUCUAGAAUUGUUUGAAUGGGUUUAUUGAUAGAUAGCAAGUUUUAUUUAGUCUUGUUUUUUAAUUUAUACUUUCUGUAAAGAUACAGUUUGAUAUUUCAAGGACGAAAAGACCCUAUAGAGUUUUUAACUUAGUGGUGUUUCUUACUUUAGUUAUUUGUUGGGGUAACGGUAUUUCUUUUGAGUACUUAUUUAUUACAUUAUGAACUUCCUUAGGGAUAACAGGGAUAUAGAAUCUUGGAGGACAUAUCGAAGAUUUUGUUUUCUACCUCGAUGUUGAAUUGUAGUUAAAGAUAGGUGUAGAGGCCUUUACUUUUAGUCUGUUCGACUAAUAAUACUAUUCGUGAUUUGAGUUUAGACCGAUGUGAAUCAGGUUGGUUUUUAUCCUGAAUCACUGUCCAUUGUACGAAAGGAAUUGGAUUGAUAUU